AAUUGAGUCCUGCGAGGCCGCCGGUUGCCACGAGUCUGCCCCCGCGUGGCGGCUGCUUAAUUGCUUGUGUUAUUCGCCAGCCGACCGCCGACCACCGCACCGUGGUGUUAGCAUAUCCCGGCCUCCUCGCCGGCCCCGAGGGACGGGAUGAGACGUGAGCUUGGAAUCUUUUUUUUUUGUUUUGUUUGGCUCGGCAGCGAAAUUCAGCCAGCAGCUGGUGUUGCGAGGCCAAGCGGUGACAAAGACGGCGGCGGAGAGGAGUUAGGUGAUAGGAGCAUCAGUGGCGGCCCCGGGGAGCUGACACCAGCAGUCCAGCACCGUUGGCGGAAUAUGACAGCCUUGCCAACACCUCGCAGCCCCUGCACACUCGCACGGAGGUGCUUUCUACGGGUUUCUGGGAGAAGGCUUUGAAAAGGCAUUGAUCUGAGCCAGCAGGUCUGGUUGGGACACAAGGAGCGCCCGGUGACGCUCUGCUCUCAUGGAACAUCGAUGGUGAAACCCCGUCACCCGACCUGAAUGCCAGAUGACAAAAUCCUACUUUCCGUCAACAACAACAACAACAACAACAACAAAAACAAAAGACUUUGUGUGUUUGCUACCAGUAGUGGCAGACUUGCUGAGGGCAUUGGAGCAUUUUCAUGCAACAGAGGGAUGUCCGAAGGGUGGCCAUUUGCAGAUUCUAAAAAAAACAACACUUUUACUAAAAAAAAACAUAAAAACAUAAGUGGAACAAAAAAGUAAACAAGUGUAAUAUAAUGAGGUGAUGCUAAUGAA